UUGCUUAAACUGCCAAGCCCGCAACGCAAUAAAAAUAAUACGAACAACAUCAAGAUCCCGCCGGAUACACGUCCGACCUCACAUAUGCUAGUACAACCCAAAGGCUUAAAUCGUAGUAAAAGAAGUGCUGAACUGUGCAUAAAGCGCUUAUAGACACGGAGAUAUGCGGCCACUGACAUUCAUUACGACAUAAAUUCGUUUAGUUGCUUGGACCGGGGUCUGGCACCAAGGACGAGCUCCGUUGCUACACGCACGGCGCAAAAGGCCGUAAAGCAAGUGCGUCCUUGCCACAGGGAUCCAAGAGAUGAGAGUUGAGCCCUCACUAUAUAGUCUCUCCUCUGCCAGACAGCCACCUUGGGAUGUGGCUGUGGCCCGGCAACCUGUGCAAGUAUGUGUGUAAUUUAAUAAGUUAAUAAAUGAGUGAGGCCACGGUACGUUGCUGUCAGGGAAGGAUGACGCUGAAGAUGCUCUUCAAAGGCCAGAUACUUGGGUGGAGCUGCACUGACUGAGUCCUGGAGACUGGCCUCCGAGGAACAAUACAACCCGUCAACGUGUUAACCUCAGUUCCAUCUGUCGGUGUAUGUGCAAGUUUGACCUGCUACACAAAUGACCAUCAGGGCAAGUCAGCAGCUGCCCGGCUGCCUAAAUCGACCUUGCAAGAAGAGUGGUGGAAAUGGGGGGGAUUCUGGAUGGCCU